GCGAUUGUCCCAUCAGGCAUGCUUGCUCCUAUCUCUGUUCUUCUUCCAUAGUUGUUUAGGGUUUGUUCGUAGGAUUCCUCAUUAAGCAAUCGAAUCCAGAACGGAGAGAGGGGGAAAAGAAAAAAGAAAUCACCAGCCUCUCCUGGGCCUUGCGGCGGUGGCGCUUCUGGUGACUGGAGGCCAGCUCCAGAUCAUAGGAGGCGUACCCCUUGCCCACCUUGUAUGCUGCGCACUAUUUGCUGCUCUCCCUCUGCCGAUGCACUCCCUCCAUUUUUGAAGUGGAAUGACUAUGGAAACUGUUGAAGCUUUAGUGUGCCUAGACUGGAUAAGGGCCAUAUCUAAUACUCAGCGUCCCAUGGAUUCAGUUCAUGACAUUAUCUUGGCUUUGGAAGGUAAUGAGACUGUAGAGGCAAGCUCAUAUAGCAGGAGGAAUAGCCAUGCAGCGAGUGAGCAAGCAAGCAAGCGAUUCAGUAAUAUCCAGUGGCAGAGUACUGAAAAAACUGAAUGAAUUAUUAUUCCAUAUUAUUUAUGAAUCAGUGCCAUCUUGAUUGUUGCUGUAAUAAUAUUUGCUUGUGAUGAUU